AACGAACGCUGGCGGCGUGCCUAACACAUGCAAGUCGAACGCGAAAGUCCUUCGGGAUGAGUAAAGUAGGCGCACGGGUGAGUAACACGUAGGUGACCUACCGUUUAGUAGUGGAAUAACCAGAAGAAAUUUUAGGUCUAAUGCCGCAUACGAAGUGCAAAUUUUAAAGUUAAGCACUUGAAAGGAUGCCUCUGCAUAUGCAUCUACUGAACGAUGGGCCUGCGGAACAUUAGCUAGUUGGUGGGGUAAUGGCCUACCAAGGCAACGAUGUUUAUCCGGUCUGAGAGGAUGAUCGGACACACUGGAACUGAGACACGGUCCAGACUCCUACGGGAGGCAGCAGUGGGGGAAUAUUGCGCAAUGGGGGAAACCCUGACGCAGCAACGCCCGCGUGAGUGAGGAAGGAC
rnacentral:rRNA from 1 species